rnacentral:rRNA from 1 species
CGAGCACGCGCGUGUGGCAUAUCAAUAAGCGGAGGAAAAGGAAACUAACAAGGAUUCCCCUAGUAACGGCGAGUGAAGCGGGAAGAGCUCAAAUUUGAAAUCUUCAAGGUUUUACCUUGACGAAUUGUAGUUUAUAGAAGUGUUUUCUGUUAGUGGAGUGGUAAAAGUUCUUUGGAAUAGGACAUCAUAGAGGGUGAGAAUCCCGUAUUUGGACCAUUCCUUCCUAGCGUUGUGAUUACACUUUCAACGAGUCGGAUUGUUUGGGAAUGCAGUCCAAAAUGGGUGGUAAAUUUCAUCUAAAGCUAAAUAUUGGCGAGAGACCGAUAGCGAACAAGUACCGUGAGGGAAAGAUGAAAAGAACUUUGAAAAGAGAGUUAAACAGCUACGUGAAAUUGUCAAAAGGGAAGCGUUUGACACCAGUGUUGUUUUUCCGAAAAUCAAUUACGAAUGUUUUGUUUUUGAGGAGUUAUGACUUCAUCGGCUUGCUUCCUUUCUUUACGAAACUUUCUUAAUGCACUUUUCGGUUAACAAGUCAACAUCAAUUUCUUUUGUUGUAAAAGGGUAUGAGGAAGGCGGCUUUCUUUUCGGAGAAAGUGUUUAUAGCCUUGUAGCCUCUGCAAUCGGAGAGAUUGAGGUCUGCAGCGUAGAUCCUUCGGGGUUAGAUACAUUUGUGCUAAGUUAUAGCUUUUCAUAGACAACUUGUUGACUAUGUUUAGUCUUGUAGCUUACUCGCUUAUGCUAUUUUACCUACGCUUAGGAUGUUGAUGUGAUACUGCGAGCA